GCCCGCGUGGCCUAAUGGAUUAAGGCGUCGGACUCCUAAAUUUCUUAUAAAACAAGAGACAUCCGAAGAGUCCGGGUUCGAGUCCCGGCGCGGGUG
rnacentral:tRNA from 1 species